rnacentral:lncRNA from 1 species
AGUACAUCGAGAAAUUUCAACAAUUUAAUAAUAAAUUAAACAAAUUUUCUCACUGAAAGCUGAUGGGUUAAGUUGAUAUUCUUAUACAACCCUGCUAUAUUGUCCGAAACCUACUAACCGAAGCCUUGACCGAAUGUUUUUAUUCACUCGCACUACGUGCAUUGAUUUCAGUGAAAUGUUGUACUUUGUAAUGCAUCCAAGUAUAGUUUAAGAAAUGAAGGUGGUCUGCCUCCGGGGCAAAGUUUAGUGGUGCAAAAGAAAGGAGUAAGGUUAUCUCACGCCUUACUGGCAGUCGCAGUGUGAGGUUCAAUUCUUGAGGCAUGAAAUUGGACUCCUUGUUUCCUGAUCUAUUCGGGCACAUCCCACGAUUCACUUUCCUCACAAAGCUCUAGGGAUUCAAAGUUGAGGUUCAACCUUUUUUAUUUAUUUAAGAAAUGAAGGUGGUCCAGAAAACACACACAAAAAAGCCGUAGGUGUCAUAGUUUUCAACAU